CCCUUAGAUGUUCUGGGCCGCACGCGCGCUACACUGAUGCAUUCAACGAGCCUAUCCUUGACCGACAGGUCCGGGUAAUCUUUGAAUCUGCAUCGUGACGGGGAUAGAUUAUUGCAAUUAUUAAUCCUCAACGAGGAAUGCCUAGUAGGCGCAAGUCAUCAGCUUGCGUCGAUUACGUCCCUGCCCUUUGUACACACCGCCCGUCGCUCCUACCGAUUGGGUGUGCUGGUGAAAUGUUCGGAUCGGCCGUUUGUCGCGGUUUCCGCGUCAUGUGGCUGAGAAGUUCAUUAAACCCUCCCACCUAGAGGAAGGAGAAGUCGUAACA
rnacentral:rRNA from 1 species